CUGAGUCCGGUUUCACUCGACGUUUCUGCCUUUGCUCUACAAAUAAAACUGACCUGACUUGAUGAGCACAGCAGGCUAGUUAAAGAAGAAAACAUACUACCCCGCUCACGUGACACUCACCUGUACAUAAACCAAGCGCACCCUCCACAAUGAGCCGACUGAUUAAAUGUAAAAGGUGUGAAGCGCCAACUGCGCAUUGGCUCCACCUUCCUGCUGCUAAUGUCGCUAAUGUCGCUGUGAACAUUGCUGUGAACUGCCAACAGUUGUAUAAAGCUGAUUCACGAGGACCUUAUGAAGGAAAUAAUUGUGUUUACGUCGCUUUUUUUGUUGCUGUUGUCGUUGGAGACGCCAUAUUAGCUUCAACCACUUCAACCCGGAAGCUACGUUAGCUUGGAGCUACGGAAACACGUCCAGGAGGUUUCACCCUGAAAUGCAGCUUCACCCCAACAAACUCUGCAGGAAAAAAGGAUGUGCAGAGGAGUGAUGACGAGAGAAGACAGCUCUUCAGUGGCUUGAUGCUGCACAGUUUGACGAAACAUGUGCCAUGAUCCUCCAAAGAGAUGACAGCUGCUGCCAUCCUGUUUUCCCCUUUAAAAUAGGGCACAAUGUGCUCACAAAGACAAGACAGGAAGUGGCUUUGUGCUGCGAGGACAAAUAACUAUCAUCCACAUUAUAGGCAGCGCGAGCAUCCCAGGUACACACCAAAGGAAAAACACGCUAUUAAAGCUUUUGCAGAC